rfam:Aspergillus niger ATCC 1015, whole genome shotgun sequence.
GGGGCUGUGGUUUAGUGGUAUAAUAUUCCCUUAGCAUGGGAGAGGUCCGGGGUUCGAUUCCCCGCAGCUCCA